rnacentral:rRNA from 1 species
AAACGACUCUCGGCAACGGAUAUCUCGGCUCACGCAKYSAUGAAGAACGUAGCAAAAUGCGAUACUUGGUGUGAAUUGCA